rnacentral:lncRNA from 1 species
AGAUUCGGGAGACCACUCUUGCUGCCGAUGAUGAAAUUUCAAAAAACAUUGUGGGCCUUGCACGAACCCGUCCUGAUAUUUUUGGCACAACAGAGGAGGAGGUGUCUAACGCAGUUCAGGCUGAAAUUGAGAAAAAGAAAGAUGAGCAACCAAAGCAGGUUAUAUGGGAUGGCCACACUGGAAGCAUUGGGCGCACUGCUAACCAGGCAAUGUCCCAAAGUCUUGGUGACGAUCAAAAUGAGGCUAUGAACAGUGACGGACGAAACUUACCUGGACCAGCUGCUCCUCCUCCCCGUCCUGGUCUACCAUCACUUCGACCGCUUCCUCCACCGCCUGGACUGGCUCUUAAUGUCCCCCGCAUGCCUCCAAAUGCAGUCUCAU